AUGCCGUUCCUAGAGCUGCACACGAAUUUCCCCGCCAACUGAGUGCCCGCGGGGCUGGAGAAAUGGCUGUGCGCCGCCGCUGCCUCCAUCUUGGGCAAAUCUGCGGACCGCGUGAACGUGACGGUACGGCCGGGCCUGGCCAUGGCGCUGAGCGGGUCCACCGAGCCCUGCGCGCAGCUAUCCAUCUCCUCCAUCGGCGUCGUGGGCACCGCCGAGGACAACCGCAGCCACAGGGCCCACUUCUUUGAGUUUCUCACCAAGGAGCUAGCCCUGGGCCAGGACCGGUGCGCCGGGGUAGUAGGCCCGGAAUAUUAUUCUAAAACAAUCAGAGCACUCCAUUCCUGCUAACAGUUUAAAGCCAAGCACCUAGGCAUGCCAUUUAGGCUUCUGAAUGACUGGAUCUUGACCAGGAGAGCUGCUGUCUAGGUUUUCUCCUGACCAGUUCCUCAAGAGAAAUGCAAAACUAGUGAUUAACAGUAAGAGUCUGGCCGGGCGUGGUGGCUCACGCCUGUAAUCCCAGCACUUUGGGAGGCCGAGGCGGGCGGAUCAUGAGGUCAGGAGAUGGAGACCAUCCUGACUAACACGGUGAAACUCCGUCUCUACUAAAAAUCCAAAAAACUAGCCGGAUGUGGUGGUGGGCGCCUGUAGUCCCAGCUACUAGGGAGGCAGAGGCAGGAGAAUGGCGUGAACCCGGGAGGCGGAACUUGCAGUGAGCCGAGAUUGCGCUACUGCACUCCAGCCCGGGCGACAAAGCGAAACUCUGUCUCAAAAAAAUACCAAAAAACAAGCAAAACAAAACAAAAACAAUAAGAGUCCAGUGGCUUAUGCCUGUAAUUCCAGUACUUUGGGAGGCCGAGGCAGGCAGAUCACCUGUGGUUGGGAGUUCGAGACCAGCCUGACCAACAUGGAGAAACCCUGUCUCUACUACAAAUACAAAAUUAGCUGGGCGUGGUGGUGCGUGCCUGUAAUCCCAGCUACUCAGAAGGCUGAGGCAGGAGAAUCACUUUAACCUGGGAGGCAGAGGUUGUGGUGAGCCGAGAUUGCACCACUGAACUCCAGCCUGGGCAACAAGAGCAAAACUCCUUCUCAAAAAAAAAAAACAAACACACACACACACACACCAAAAAACCAGUAAGGGUCAUGUCCUGAGAGGCUAACUCAGCCGACUGUUGGGUCACCAUGCCUACAGCCAACAAAUGUGGGAUGCUGCUGGGCCCUGAGCGGUCAGAUAAACUACUUUCUCUGGUAAUUAGAAGGCUACAGGAAAUGUUUUGUUUUGGGUUUCUUUGUGUAUUUUUAGAGACAGGAUCUUGUUCUGUUGCCCCAGGCUGGAGUGCUAUGGCUCAAUCAGAGCUCACUGCAGCGUCAAACUCCUGGGCUCAAGCAAUCCUCCCACCUCAGCCUCCCAAGUAGCUAGAACUACAGGCAUGCACCACCAUGCCUGACUAAUUAAAAAAAAAAAAAUUUCUUUUGGCUGCAUGUGGUGGCUUGGCACUUGUAAUCCCAGCACUUUGUGAGGUAGAGGCUUGAGCACAGGAGUGCAGGGCUAGCCUGGGCAACAUGGCAAGACCCUGUCUCUACAAAAAUAAAAAAGAAAUUAGCUGGGUGUGGUGGGGUGCACCUGUUGUCUCAGCUUCUUAGGAGGCUGAGGUGGAAAUAUUGCUUGAGCCUGGGAUGUCAAGGCUGCAGUGAGCCAUGACUGUGUCACUGCACUCCAGCCUGGGCAACAGAGUGAGACCCCAUCUCUGAAAAAAUAUUUUUUGGGGGAGCCAGGCACAGUGGCUCACGCCUGUAAUCCCAGCACUUUCGGAGGUGGAGGCGUGCAGAUCAGUUGAGGUACAGAGUUUGACACCAGCCUGGCCAACACGGUGAAACCCUGUUUCUACUAAAAAUACAAAAAUUAGCCAGGUGUGGUAGUGCGUGCCUAUAAUUCCAGCUUCUGGGCAGACUGAGGCAGGAGAAUCGCUUGAACCUGGGAGGCGGAGGUUGCAGUAAGCUGUGAUCAUGCCAUUGCAGUCCAGCCUGGGCAACAGAGCAAGACACUGUCUCAAAAAAAAAAAAUUGUUUUGAACUCCUGGACUCAAGCAAUCCCCCCAACGUGGACCUCCCAAAGUACUAGGAUUAUAAUAAGCAUGAGCUACCACACUCAGCCACUUUUUUUUUUUUUUUUCUUGAGACAGAGUCUCGCUCUGUCGCCCAGGCUGGAGUGCAGUGGCGCGAUCUCGGCUCAUUGCAAGGUUCGCCUCCCGGGUUCAUGCCAUUCUCCUGCCUCAGCCUCCCGAGUAGCUGGGACUACAGGCACCCACCACCACACCCGGCUAAUUUUUUGUAUUUUUAGUAGAGACGGGGUUUCACCGUGUUAGCCAGGAUGGUCUCCAUCUCCUGACCUCGUGAUCCCCCUGCCUCGGCCUCCCAAAGUGCUGGGAUUACAGGCGUGAGCCACCGCACCUGGCCUUAGCCACAUUUAUUAAUUUCACUCUUGGCAAACAUCAGGGAGAAGCUGACCCACACGGCCUGGGAAGGGGGAUUGUCUUUUGGAUAGAGACCAUGACCAGGUCUGGGACAGAGGAAAGUCAAAUAAAUCACACAUUAGAGUUAGAAGCAGAGGCUCAGGCUGAGCCCAGGUUUAUUAUCCAAAAUGAAAAUGAAA